rnacentral:rRNA from 1 species
UACAGAGGUCUCAAGCGUUGUCCGGAAUCAUUGGGCGUAAAGAGCGUGUAGGUGGCCCGGUCAGUCCGCCGUGAAAGUCCAGGGCUCAACCCUGGAAUGCCGGUGGAUACUGCCGGGCUGGAGUCCGGAAGAGGCGAGUGGAAUUCCUGGUGUAGCGGUGAAAUGCGCAGAUAUCAGGAGGAACACCAAUGGCGAAGGCAGCUCGCUGGGACGGUACUGACACUGAGACGCGAAAGCGUGGGGAGCAAACAGG